rnacentral:rRNA from 1 species
AGCGAACGCUGGCGGCAGGCCUAACACAUGCAAGUCGAACGAACUCUUCGGAGUUAGUGGCGGACAGGUGAGUAACACGUGGGAACGUGCCUUUAGGUUCGGAAUAACUCAGGGAAACUUGAGCUAAUACCGGAUGUGCCCUUCGGGGGAAAGAUUUAUCGCCUUUAGAGCGGCCCGCGUCUGAUUAGCUAGUUGGUGAGGUAAAGGCUCACCAAGGCGACGAUCAGUAGCUGGUCUGAGAGGAUGAUCAGCCACAUUGGGACUGAGACACGGCCCAAACUCCUACGGGAGGCAGCAGUGGGGAAUCUUGCGCAAUGGGCGAAAGCCUGACGCGGCCAUGCCGCGUGAAUGAUGAAGGUCUUAGGAUUGUAAAAUUCUUUCACCGGGGACGAUAAUGACGGUACCCGGAGAAGAAGCCCCGGCUAACUUCGUG